UCUCCCCCGUGCCCAAAUCCCCACGAUAAUAAAACUGCCUGCAGGUUGUAACACUCACGGGACAAGCCACGUUGUAAAUAGCACAGCGUGGCGACCAUGUCAGGAAACUGACCACUGACUUUCUGCCCGGCUGACCUCUCGUGAUCUCUGACCCCGGGCAGAGGAAUAAGCAAAGGGGAAGAGCCGGGUUGCGGGUGUAGCCUCGGUUCGUGGAAGGCGCCCAGGUCUAGAGGUUCACCCGAUGUCUGCUAAAAACGUGUGGUGUCUGGAGAGGUGGGAGCUCCGGAGCUGGAGAAGGAAGGAGAAUAAGAGAACCCUCCUGGAAACUUUGCUGGGUUAUGCUUUGGAAAACGUGGCUUAUACCAAUGGCCCAACCUAUGUGCGUUUGUAGCAAGGAAAAGUCAGUGCCCGCCAUCUUCACCGCUGUGUCUCCAAAGUCAGUGCCCGCCAUCUUCACCACUGUGUCUCCAAAGUCAGUGCCCGCCAUCUUCACCGCUGUGUCUCCAAAGUCAGUGCCCGCCAUCU